ACCUCAUGUUGAUGGAUGGUCGUGUCGUGAGAAAGCUAGACUGAUGAGUGUGUUUGAGCCCAUCAAUAUGUACAGAGGACACCAUAGGAGAGAAAUGAUCUUAGAAAACUGCAUAUGAAUUUCGGUUUCUGGGAUUGAAAGGGCUUAUUUCUAAUGAAUCUGGGGCAUUUGAAUUCCCUUAUGAUGCUAGAAUUCUUCAUGGGUUUCAUUUAUCAGCAAGUCAGCUUGAGUUGAAGUUGGCAAACUUUAUCUUCAGUUAACCUGUUGUUUGUGCCUUAGAUGUGCACUAAUGUAAGAGAGAUGUUUGAUGAUAAAUAAUGCGUAAUCAUUUACGCAUUAAUUAUUGGUGAAAUGGUAUUUUCUUUGCCCUGUCUGUAUAUAUUUUCUUGUCAUUUCUUUGGAAAUUGAUGAAGUUAACAAGGGAAUGCUAUGUUGUUUGCAUCCCCUUGAAGUUGCAAGCCUACCAUGCAGGUUAGGGGAAGUUCGUUGCUUAUUGGUGAAGAGCUUGACGACAAAGGUCACAUGAAGAUUUGCAUAUUCAAGUGAGAAACUAAAUGUUUAUAUUUUGAUCUAUUGCUAUUCAAUUCAUGAAUCGAAUUAUGUUUAUACUAAUUACCUCUAGAACAAUUGUUUGAUGAUAAAUUUCUCUCGUUUCAAAGCAAUGGACUCUCAGGGAACACAUCUGAUGAUGUCCACCAGUGUAAGAGCAUUAGAUGCUUCUCAAUGUUUUUCUUUUAUGAGAAUAAGAACUGGAAUAUUUCGCUUUUUUCA